rnacentral:sRNA from 1 species
GUUUGCACUUGUCGGGGAAGGGUGAGAACCUUCGAUUAAGGUUCGACUCGAGCGAAAGCGAGAGAACGUUGCCAACGGCAACGGCCCGAAG